CUAAGAUGGAGCACCAGUUAAACUCAGAAUGUCAGAAUUCAGAAAUCUGAAUCAUUAAAGUAUUUUAUGUAAAGUAUCAUCUCUAGGAAAUACAGAGAGGCAGAGGGGCUACAAGUUUACAGGAAUUUGCUCCUAAAUUAUAUUUGUUUGGUCAGUCAACACUAUUAGGACGAGAAAAACUGUAUCCCAAACUUCUUGUGAAAGAAAAAAAAAAAAAAAAACAGAAGAUUGCUAACUCCAGAAAGGUGCUUCAUUUUUUUGGUUGGUUGGUUUGUUGGUUUGUUUGUUGAUUGGUUGGUUGGCAGGUCAGUUGGUUGGUUGGUUGGUUGGUUGGUUGGUUGGAGGUUGGUUAGUUGGUUGGUAGUUGGUAGCUUGGUCAUUGGUUGGUAGAUUGGUUAGUAGACUAGUAGAUUGGUUGGUUUGUUGGUAGGUUGGCUGGUUGGUUGAUUGGUUUGUUGGUUGGUAGAUUGGUGGGUAGGUUGGUAGAUUGGUGGGUAGGUUGGUACAUUGGUUGGUUGAUUGGUUUGUCAGUUGGUAGGUUGGUAGAUUGGUUGGUUUGUUGGUUGGUAGAUAGGCGGGUAGGUUGGUAGGUUGGUUGGUUGAUACAUUUGUGGGUUGGUUGGUUGGUUGGUUGUUGAUAGGUUGGUUGGUAGGUAGGUUAGUUAGUUGGUUGGUAGAAUGGUUGGCUAGUUGGUAGGUUGGUAGGUAGGUUGAUUGGUAGGCUGAUUAGUUUAUUCCAAUUGUCUCUGUGUGGUGAAUAAUCUGUGUUGACUCAAUCUAGGUUUGUUUUCAGAUCACUAGGUGUCUGGUAGGAGUGAGCCAUCUCUUCCUCCCUCUCCCACAGGAUGGCCAUGCUUCUCUCUGAUACCUGAACUUUUUGUCCCAGCAUGCCAAUUUUUCCUAUUGUUGAGCUCAAAUCAGAAGUUGCCUGACCUCCAGAGGACAAGAUUCACCAGGUUUUAUUUUUAUUUCAAGAUAUCCUUGGGCAGAGAGAGGCAGAAGCAAGCAGCUCCUAUAUGGGUAUGAGGGUAAACCCCCCAUAGAUUGAAG
rnacentral:lncRNA from 10 species